UCGCAAGAUUAAAACUCAAAGGAAUUGACGGGGGCCUGCACAAGCGGUGGAGCAUGUGGUUUAAUUCGAUGCAACGCGAAGAACCUUACCAGGGUUUGACAUAGUACGAAGUUUUUUGAAAAAAAAACCACCUUCGGGAACGUACAUACAGGUGGUGCAUGGCUGUCGUCAGCUCGUGUCGUGAGAUGUUGGGUUAAGUCCCGCAACGAGCGCAACCCUUUUCCUUAGUUGCUACGCAAGGGCACUCUAGGGAUACUGCCGGUGACAAACCGGAGGAAGGUGGGGAUGACGUCAGGUCAUCAUGGCCCUUAUGGGUAGGGCUACACACGUCAUACAAUGGCCGGGACAGAGGGCUGCCAACCCGCGAGGGGGAGCUAAUCCCAGAAACCCGGUCGUAGUCCGGAUCGUAGUCUGCAACUCGACUGCGUGAAGUCGGAAUCGCUAGUAAUCGCGGAUCAGCUUGCCGCGGUGAAUACGUUCCCGGGUCUUGUACACACCG
rnacentral:rRNA from 14 species